GCGGCAGAGAUCGCGGUGACUGCUACUGUGCGCCGCUUCACGGCACUGCUGGGCGGCGGCACCACCGUGGUACAAGCAGGCGAGCCGCAGGCGAAUGACGAUGGGGCGAUGUGGUUCCGACCGGCGGC
rnacentral:snoRNA from 1 species